UGACUAACCACGAUUCCUCAA
ensembl:piRNA 21ur-5296 ncRNA